rnacentral:rRNA from 1 species
UUCGACACACUAUCAUUAACUGAAUCCAUAGGUUAAUGAGGCGAACCGGGGGAACUGAAACAUCUAAGUACCCCGAGGAAAAGAAAUCAACCGAGAUUCCCCCAGUAGCGGCGAGCGAACGGGGAGCAGCCCAGAGCCUGAAUCAGUGUGUGUGUUAGUGGAAGCGUCUGGAAAGGCGCGCGAUACAGGGUGACAGCCCCGUACACAAAAAUGCACAUACUGUGAGCUCGAUGAGUAGGGCGGGACACGUGGUAUCCUGUCUGAAUAUGGGGGGACCAUCCUCCAAGGCUAAAUACUCCUGACUGACCGAUAGUGAACCAGUACCGUGAGGGAAAGGCGAAAAGAACCCCGGCGAGGGGAGUGAAAAAGAACCUGAAACCGUGUACGUACAAGCAGUGGGAGCCUCUUAAUGGGGUGACUGCGUACCUUUUGUAUAAUGGGUCAGCGACUUAUAUUCUGUAGCAAGGUUAACCGAAUAGGGGAGCCGAAGGGAAACCGAGUCUUAACUGGGCGUUAAGUUGCAGGGUAUAGACCCGAAACCCGGUGAUCUAGCCAUGGGCAGGUUGAAGGUUGGGUAACACUAACUGGAGGACCGAACCGACUAAUGUUGAAAAAUUAGCGGAUGACUUGUGGCUGGGGGUGAAAGGCCAAUCAAACCGGGAGAUAGCUGGUUCUCCCCGAAAGCUAUUUAGGUAGCGCCUCGUGAAUUCAUCUCCGGGGGUAGAGCACUGUUUCGGCAAGGGGGUCAUCCCGACUUACCAACCCGAUGCAAACUGCGAAUACCGGAGAAUGUUAUCACGGGAGACACACGGCGGGUGCUAACGUCCGUCGUGAAGAGGGAAACAACCCAGACCGCCAGCUAAGGUCCCAAAGUCAUGGUUAAGUGGGAAACGAUGUGGGAAGGCCCAGACAGCCAGGAUGUUGGCUUAGAAGCAGCCAUCAUUUAAAGAAAGCGUAAUAGCUCACUGGUCGAGUCGGCCUGCGCGGAAGAUGUAACGGGGCUAAACCAUGCACCGAAGCUGCGGCAGCGACACUAUGUGUUGUUGGGUAGGGGAGCGUUCUGUAAGCCUGCGAAGGUGUACUGUGAGGUAUGCUGGAGGUAUCAGAAGUGCGAAUGCUGACAUAAGUAACGAUAAAGCGGGUGAAAAGCCCGCUCGCCGGAAGACCAAGGGUUCCUGUCCAACGUUAAUCGGGGCAGGGUGAGUCGACCCCUAAGGCGAGGCCGAAAGGCGUAGUCGAUGGGAAACAGGUUAAUAUUCCUGUACUUGGUGUUACUGCGAAGGGGGGACGGAGAAGGCUAUGUUGGCCGGGCGACGGUUGUCCCGGUUUAAGCGUGUAGGCUGGUUUUCCAGGCAAAUCCGGAAAAUCAAGGCUGAGGCGUGAUGACGAGGCACUACGGUGCUGAAGCAACAAAUGCCCUGCUUCCAGGAAAAGCCUCUAAGCAUCAGGUAACAUCAAAUCGUACCCCAAACCGACACAGGUGGUCAGGUAGAGAAUACCAAG